AUUGUUCCAAGCCGUGACGAGUAUUGUAGCAAUCAGCCAAGCCUACAAGGACGGGGCCAAUUGAACUCGAUUGCACCACUUCAUGAUGUUCAAUAUAUUAAUCAAGAAAGGAUGCAUGGAAUGGGGCAUUAAAAUUUCAGAUCAUAACCAUUUCCAGUUGUUUUGACAUUCAGGAUGGCUUACAAGAUAUGGGGGGCCAGUCAAAUGCGGAAACUUCUUAGUUGCAUUCCAGAAACUAUUGUUGACCGCUGUUUUCUGUCUGAUAAUUGAUAAAGGUGUCUCAUUUGGGAUUGCGGAGUAGGUUUAUAUCUUUGAUCGCUUCCUUUUGGUUCCAAGUUCCAAUUGACAUACCCAACUGCCUUUGAGAUGUUAAUAUUGUGUUCUAUGUUCUGCUUAGGACGAUGAAAGUUAAUUGCCUACAGUUCUUUAACAUGUUAGUUAACUUUUGUUAUUUUCAAACUUAGUCUUGUAUCUUUGUAUAUUAAAAAAUAACACAAACUUAAUUAGUAUUUUGUAAUUUUUCCUUCCAUUUAUGUACUAGAUGAUGAUCCGCAAUGUCUCGCAGUCCUGCAAAUUUAGAUAAUAUGGGGGUGUUUUUAUGCAA